rnacentral:rRNA from 1 species
AGGACGAACGCUGGCGGCGUGCUUAACACAUGCAAGUCGAGCGGUAAGGCCUUUCGGGGUACACGAGCGGCGAACGGGUGAGUAACACGUGGGUGAUCUGCCCUGCACUUCGGGAUAAGCCUGGGAAACUGGGUCUAAUACCGGAUAUGACCUCCUAUCGCAUGGUGGGUGGUGGAAAGAUUUAUCGGUGCAGGAUGGGCCCGCGGCCUAUCAGCUUGUUGGUGGGGUAAUGGCCUACCAAGGCGACGACGGGUAGCCGACCUGAGAGGGUGACCGGCCACACUGGGACUGAGACACGGCCCAGACUCCUACGGGAGGCAGCAGUGGGGAAUAUUGCACAAUGGGCGAAAGCCUGAUGCAGCGACGCCGCGUGAGGGAUGACGGCCUUCGGGUUGUAAACCUCUUUCAGCAGGACGAAGCGCAAGUGACGGUACCUGCAGAAGAAGCACCGGCUAACUACGUGCCAGCAGCC